CUUUUUCCCAGUAGCUCCCCUCAACCUACUACCUUGAUGCUGCGCAUGAGGAAAGUGGUUUUCAAGAAGAGUAGAGUGAUGCCUACCAUCGGUGAUGGUGGUGGGGCAGUCGCACCGUCAAGUUCUUCCUUAGCAACGGUUCCACAAGGUGCCACCAGGGUCGAUGUCCUAGGUUUGUCUCUCUUGACAUCUCCAAUUAGCUCUGUCGUGAAUCCGACAAGGGCAGCUGAUGCUCACCCUUUUUCUUUUUUACAAUGAGCCCGGGGGUUGCCUUCAUCAACACAGUGGAGGCUACGACCCUAGGGGGAUAGUGAUCCUCCUUGCUAAUGGGGAGCCUCGGACCAAGCUUUCGGGCCUUGGUGGCCGGCUAGGCGUCCAGCUCACUUCAGACUGCUCUGUUGAAGGCGACAACCCUCUAGCCUUUUGCAGCCUUUUGCAGGGAGCUGAACAAAGGGAGCGAUGUGAAUGAGAAGGCGUUGUAGAAAGGCCUUGAUUGGCUUUCAACAGCGCGCCAAAAGCUAGCAUCGCUCAUAGGGACACUGGCGGGUAGGUCCCGCCUUCUUCUUGACCAAAGGGAGGCAUGAGAGCGUUCUGCCAGUAAUCUUAUCGCGGCGAAAAGCGAGGCCGUCGAUGCCCACGCCCGCAUCGUGUCAAUCCAAAACGAUUAUGAUACCUUGGUUGGGGUAGCGAGGAGGGAUGCAGAAUCGGCGACGCUUGUGUGUCUUGAGAGCAUGAAAGCAAACUCCCACCUCUGUAUCCUAUAGCGAGGGAAAGAGGUCACCGAGGCUCGAGUCGCGGCCUUGGAGGAGCUGGGCAGUCAAACUAAGAAGGAGGAGAAUCUCCUAGCCUCUUUGCAAGGGGGAAUUCGACGCCGCCGAGGGGAACUUUGUCGAGGUGCAAAGCCACCUGAAGGAGCUGGAAAAGGAGAGGCAUCUCCUGCUAGAGGUGGUGAGCGCCAUGCAUGGGCGCUUUGGAGAACUUCCUUUGCCUGGGUCUGAGUCAAUUGUCUCCCGCUUUGAGGGCCUCACUAGCUAGCUACGUGAGAUUGAGAAGGAAUCCUUCUGCCAAGGGAUCUGCCAGGCCUUUGCCGUCGUGACAUCUCACUUUGAAGGGGGGUCGAGCUAGAAGACGUAAGCGAAGGCUACUGUGAUGCUUGGAGUGAUUUGGAUUUCGUCGGCAUGGUGAAGGCCGUCAAGCCCUUUUCCUAGAAGCUAGGUGCCUCCCUGCUCGGCAACACACCGCAUGGGGGGUCAAGGUGGACCUGCACCUUUGUGACAACUGUGGGAAAAGAAGGGGCCUUCCUUUCUCGAACACCUGUGCUUCCUGAUGCCUUGAGAACACUCUUCUCUUUGAACAAACCUAGGACUAAAAAACGGUUUGCCAGAGCCGUACGCGCGACUAGUAGCUCAUAACAGUGACACCUUGCACCCACAGUCUCGAUGCUGUGGCAGGCCACCACAUCACCGGUAGGAGGCGGGGGCUGGUUCAAGGCAGCCACCGAUGGGUGGGCUAGUGCCACAUGCGAGGGCACAUGGAGAGGCACUGAUGGCGCUCGAAUGACGUGCAGGCUGAAGUGCAGGCGUGCGAUGGGUGGCGGCAACCAGCUAGGAUUCAGAACUUGGGAUGCAAUGCUCUGUUAGACUGUGUCCAGCAAUUCAGCCAUAUGGUCACCCAAAACACUGUUUUGCACUUGAGGAAGUUUUCUAGCUUCCUUGUGGACAAGGAAACGGCUCCUAGGCCUCUUGGGGCUAUAAAAAGAGCCCCUAGGUGCCAUCUCCUAAUACCCAAGCAUCACAAGUACAUACUACAACUCCGAGACUCUACGACCAUGUUGUUCAGUGAUUUGAGAUAGAUUUGAGCGCAUUUCUGAGUUGUUACUCUGUCGUUUUGUUGUUGUGCUCUUGUCUUUUAUAUUUUGCAUGUUGUUUCUGUGUUGUGUACUUGUGUGUGAUCUAACUCCCUCCACUACUCUGAUUUUGGAUUGUGAUAAUCUUGUGUAAGGCGUUAGAGACUCCAACUUGUGGAGAUUCCUCACAAACGGGUUGAGAUAUAAGGAAGAAUACUGUGACACUCAAAUUUGAUCUUUGGAACACUUGAGAGGGGUUGAGUGCAACCCUU